rnacentral:rRNA from 1 species
GCCCAGACUCCUACGGGAGGCAGCAGUGAGGAAUAUUGGUCAAUGGGCUUACGCCUGAACCAGCCAAGUCGCGUGAGGGAAGACUGCCCUAUGGGUUGUAAACUUCUUUUAUCAGGGACGAAGCAAGUGACGGUACCUGAUGAAUAAGCCACGGCUAACUACGUGCCAGCAGCCGCGGUAAUACGUAGGUGGCAAGCGUUAUCCGGAUUUACUGGGUGUAAAGGGCGUGUAGGCGGGGACGCAAGUCAGAUGUGAAAACCAUGGGCUCAACCUGUGGCCUGCAUUUGAAACUGUGUUUCUUGAGUACUGGAGAGGCAGACGGAAUUCCUAGUGUAGCGGUGAAAUGCGUAGAUAUUAGGAGGAACACCAGUGGCGAAGGCGGUCUGCUGGACAGCAACUGACGCUGAGGCGCGAAAGCGUGGGGAGCAAACAGGAUUAGAUACCCCCGUA